rnacentral:sRNA from 1 species
CUGAAGCCAAGAGCCGACCUGCUGAGCCCUCAAGAAAGAUCAGAACAGAUUCAUGGGUGAUUUAGCCUAUCUGUCCCAGGCCAGGGCGGCUGAGUGUGCUGGCUGGAGGCCUCUCUCUCUGCUUCGAGGGUAGCUGAGAUCCACCCCGGAAACCGGCAGGAUGAAGGGGGCAAGUGAGGAGAAGCUGGCAUCUGUGUCCAACCUGGUCACUGUGUUUGAGAAUAGCAGGACCCCAGAAGCAGCACCCAGAGGCCACAGGCUAGAGGACGUGCAUCACCGCCCUGAGUGCAGGCCUCCCGAGUCCCCAGGACCACGGGAGAAGACGAAUGUCGGGGAGGCCGUGGGGUCUGAGCCCAGGACAGUCAGCAGGAGGUACCUGAACUCCCUGAAGAACAAGCUGUCCAGCGAAGCCUGGAGGAAAUCUUGCCAGCCUGUGACCCUCUCAGGAUCGGGGACGCAGGAGCCAGAGAAGAAGAUCGUCCAGGAGCUGCUGGAGACAGAGCAGGCCUAUGUGGCGCGCCUCCACCUGCUAGACCAGGUGUUUUUCCAGGAGCUGCUGAAGACAGCCCGCAGCAGCAAGGCCUUCCCAGAGGAUGUGGUCAGGGUCAUCUUCUCCAACAUCUCCUCCAUCUAUCAGUUCCAUUCUCAGUUCUUCCUCCCAGAGCUGCAGCGGCGCCUGGACGACUGGUGAGGUCCACCAGGAGCCCCUGAGGCCUCAGACCACAGCCCUAGCCAGGUGGAGGUGGGGAGACCCCAGGGCGCUAGGUUCAGCCUCCUAGGCCCAGGCCCUUAUUGUGUGGCCAUGCCUCCCUGGGGCUCGGUCUGUCUGCACAGUGAAGGGCUUGGGUGAAUGAGCUCUGAGAGGC